rnacentral:rRNA from 1 species
UACGUAGGGUGCAAGCGUUGUCCGGAAUUAUUGGGCGUAAAGAGCUCGUAGGCGGUUUGUCGCGUCUGCUGUGAAAACCGGAGGCUCAACCUCCGGCCUGCAGUGGGUACGGGCAGACUAGAGUGCGGUAGGGGAGAUUGGAAUUCCUGGUGUAGCGGUGGAAUGCGCAGAUAUCAGGAGGAACACCGAUGGCGAAGGCAGAUCUCUGGGCCGUAACUGACGCUGAGAAGCGAAAGCAUGGGGAGCGAACAGG